GACGAACGCUGGCGGCGUGCCUAAUACAUGCAAGUCGAACGCAGUGGGGACGGGUGAGUGACACGUGGGUAACCUCCCAUCAGAGGGGAUAACACUUGGAAACAGGUGCUCAACCGAUACUGCUGGAUGGACCCGCGGUGCAUUAGCUUGUUGUUGAGGUAACGGCUAACCAAGGCCACGAGGCAUAGCCGACCUGAGAGGUGGAUCGCCCCCACUGGGACGGAGACACGGCCCAGAAUCAUCCCUGGCGGCGCGUUGGGGGCUCUGCGGCCAUGGACGAAAGUCUGACCGAGCAACGCCGCGUGAGUGAAGAAGGUUUUCGGAUCGUGCAACUCUGUUGUUAGAGAAGCGGUAUCUAACCAGAAAGCCACGGCUAACUACGUGCCAGCAGCCGCGGUAAUUC
rnacentral:rRNA from 1 species